UGAGGAAUAUUGGUCAAUGGGCGGUAGCCUGAACCAGCCAAGUAGCGUGCAGGAUGACGGCCCUAUGGGUUGUAAACUGCUUUUAUGCGGGGAUAAAGUCACCCACGUGUGGGUGUUUGCAGGUACCGCAUGAAUAAGGACCGGCUAAUUCCGUGCCAGCAGCCGCGGUAAUACGGAAGGUUCGGGCGUUAUCCGGAUUUAUUGGGUUUAAAGGGAGCGUAGGCCGUUUGGUAAGCGUGUUGUGAAAUGUAGGAGCUCAACUUCUAGAUUGCAGCGCGAACUGUCAGACUUGAGUGCGGACAACGUAGGCGGAAUUCAUGGUGUAGCGGUGAAAUGCUUAGAUAUCAUGAAGAACUCCGAUUGCGAAGGCAGCUUACGGGAGCGAAACUGACGCUGAAGCUCGAAGGUGCGGGUAUCGAACAGG
rnacentral:rRNA from 1 species